AGGUUUCCGUAGGUGAACCUGCGGAAGGAUCAUUAUCGAAUUAUAAGCAAAGGCCGUAGCUGGCCCCUCGGGGCACUCGUGCACGCCGGAGCUCUUAAUCCACUUACACCUGUGAACUCAAUGUGGGACGUCUCUCGGGACGAUUCUCAUGUCUUUCAUAUACCCUUACGUAUGUCGCAGAAUGUCUUAUUGUUGCUUUAACGCAAUUAAAUACAACUUUCAACAACGGAUCUCUUGGCUCUCGCAUCGAUGAAGAACGCAGCGAAAUGCGAUAAGUAAUGUGAAUUGCAGAUUUUCAGUGAAUCAUCGAAUCUUUGAACGCACCUUGCGCUCCUUGGUAUUCCGAGGAGCAUGCCUGUUUGAGUGUCAUCAAAUUCUCAACUUCGCCGAUUUGUUUCGAGUGAGGCUUGGACUUGGAGCGUGCUGGUCCUUCUUUGGAUCGGCUCCUCUUCAAAUGCAUCAGCGGAGUCACCUUUGACUUGCGGUAUCGGCGUGAUAAUCGUGUUACGCCGUAGGCCGAAGCCUCGGUCCGCUUACAAUUGGUCUUCGGACCGCUUAUCGAAACUUGACCUCAAAUCAGGUAGGA
rnacentral:rRNA from 1 species